rnacentral:tRNA from 1 species
UAGGACACCGCCCUUUCACGGCGGUAACCCGGGUUCGAACCCCGGUAGGGUCGCCA